rnacentral:rRNA from 1 species
ACGGAAGGCAGCAGUGGGGAAUAUUGCACAAUGGGGGAAACCCUGAUGCAGCGACGCCGCGUGAGCGAAGAAGUAUCUCGGUAUGUAAAGCUCUAUCAGCAGGGAAGAGAAUGACGGUACCUGAGUAAGAAGCCCCGGCUAACUGCGUGCCAGCAGCCGCGGUAAUACGUAGGGGGCAAGCGUUAUCCGGAUUUACUGGGUGUAAGGGAGCGUAGACGGCAAAGCAAGUCUGAAGUGAAAGCCCGGGGCUCAACCCCGGGACUGCUUUGGAAACUGUUCUGCUAGAGUGCUGGAGAGGUAAGCGGAAUUCCUAGUGUAGCGGUGAAAUGCGUAGAUAUUAGGAGGAACACCAGUGGUGAAGGCGGCUUACUGGACAGUAACUGACGUUGAGGCUCGAAAGCGUGGGGAGCAAACAGGAUUAGAUACCCUGGUA